CUGAAUGAAACAACAUUAAUAUGGUUAUCGCAUGGACAAGAGAAGAAUCUGAAAUUAAGCUCCGUCUCUCGUAUCGAUCCUGGACAACGAGCUGCUGUUUUAAGAAGAUUUUUGCGCCCAGAAAAGGAGUACUUCUCAUUUUCACUUCUAUAUACUAAGGGUCUCUCGACUUGAUCUGCAAGGACAAAGCUGAAGUUGAAGUGUGGCUAUCAGGUCUUAAGGCAUUGAUCGGACAGAAUCAAAAGAGACGAACAAAAAGGGAUUUA